GAUGAACGCUGGCGGCGUGCCUAAUACAUGCAAGUCGAGCGAAUGGAUUAAGAGCUUGCUCUUAUGAAGUUAGCGGCGGACGGGUGAGUAACACGUGGGUAACCUGCCCAUAAGACUGGGAUAACUCCGGGAAACCGGGGCUAAUACCGGAUAACAUUUUGAACCGCAUGGUUCGAAAUUGAAAGGCGGCUUCGGCUGUCACUUAUGGAUGGACCCGCGUCGCAUUAGCUAGUUGGUGAGGUAACGGCUCACCAAGGCAACGAUGCGUAGCCGACCUGAGAGGGUGAUCGGCCACAGUGGGACUGAGACACGGCCCAGACUCCUACGGGAGGCAGCAGUAGGGAAUCUUCCGCAAUGGACGAAAGUCUGACGGAGCGACGCCGCGUGAGUGAUGAAGGCUUUCGGGUCGUAAAACUCUGUUGUUAGGGAAGAACAAGUGCUAGUUGAAUAAGCUGGCACCUUGACGGUACCUAACCAGAAAGCCACGGCUAACUACGUGCCAGCCGCCGCGGUAA
rnacentral:rRNA from 1 species